CUCGGCUGGGGUCCCGGAGAGGUCGAGGUGCCGUCUCUUUAGCUAAAACAGGUUUUAGCCGCCGCGUUUUUAAUAGUAUUUGCCACGAGUGUAAAGAAGGGAGCUUCCACAAGCUAUUUUAUCCCCAAGACUACAUCAAGGGAAUGUGGCCCUGCCAGCACCUGGAUUUUGGCCCAGUGAAACUAAUUUGGGACUUCCGACCUAUAGAACUAGAGAGCACAAGCAGAGGGAGCAGCAGGCAGAGGGAGAAG